rnacentral:lncRNA from 1 species
GUCAAACCUUGUCCUCCCAGCUAUAUUGGUGUAGGUCUCACACUCUGUUGGUAUUGAUGGAGGGUAAUGGUAUCAGUCUGCAGGUAUUGAUGGCUGGUAUAGGUCUCACUCUCUGCUGGUAUUGAUGGAUGGUAUAGGUCUCACACUCUACUGGUAUUGAUGGAUGGUAUAGGUCUCACUCUCUGCUGGUAUUGAUGGAUGGCAUAGGUCUCACUCUGCUGGUAUUGAUGGCUGGUAUAGGUCUCACUCUGCUGGUAUUGAUGGGUGGUAUAGGUCUCACACUCUGCUGGUAUUGAUGGAUGGUAUAGGUCUCACACUCUGCUGGUAUUGAUGGAUGGUAUAGGUCUCACACUCUGAUGGUAUUGAUGGAUGGUAUAGGUCUCACUCUGCUGGUAUUGAUGGGUGGUAUAGGUCUCACACUCUGAUGGUAUUGAUGGAUGGUAUAG